rnacentral:sRNA from 1 species
UCAGUGGUGAUUCUACACUGAAUACCAAUGACCUAACACACUUACGAGUACAAGUGGUAGAUGAAGAAGGGGACCAACAACAUCAAGAAGGAAAAAGACUUCGGAGGGUAGCUUGCACCUGUCCCAACUGUAAAGAAGGUGGUGGGAGAGGUACCAAUCUUGGGAAAAAGAAGCAACACAUUUGUCAUAUACCAGGAUGUGGUAAAGUCUAUGGGAAAACCUCACAUCUGAGAGCACAUCUCCGUUGGCAUUCUGGGGAGCGCCCUUUUAUUUGUAACUGGAUGUUCUGUGGUAAAAGAUUUACACGGAGUGAUGAAUUACAGAGGCACAGAAGAACACAUACAGGUGAGAAGAAAUUUGUUUGUCCAGAAUGUUCAAAACGCUUUAUGAGAAGUGACCACCUUGCCAAACAUAUUAAAACACAUCAGAAUAAAAAAGUCAUUCACUCUAGCAGCACAGUGCUAGCAUCUGUGGAAGCUGGGAGAGAUGAUGCCUUGAUUACUGCAGGAGGAACAACACUUAUCCUUGCAAAUAUUCAACAGGGGUCUGUGUCAGGGAUAGGAACUGUCAAUGCUUCUGCCACCAGCAAUCAAGACAUCCUUACCAACACUGAAAUACCUUUACAGCUUGUCACAGUUUCUGGAAAUGAGACAAUGGAGUAAAUAUUACACAAAUACUUAUUCAUUGUGGUUAUUUUUAUACAGUAGUGAGAAGAAUAUUGUUCCUAAGUUCUUAGAUAUCUUUUUAUUGAUGUGCAAAAAUUUUUGGAUUGACAGUAACUUGGUUAUACAUGACACUGAAAUGCCUUACUUUGUAUGAUAUUCCAUAGUAUAUUAAAAAUGGUAAAAUUUGCAUGGGUUUUGUAGGUACUUUUGGAAUCUAGAAGAAAUGAAAUUUUACCAAGUUAUAUAAAGAGAAAAUUGAAUUUAACAAUGCGAAUGGUAGUCUAACCAAAUGCAUCAAUCCUGUGUGGUUUAGUGUAAAAAUGAGAAACUGUUGGUAUUUAUCUAUUGUAAGAUAAAAAUGUUGGUGGGUGAAAGAAAUCAUGUUAUAAAUUUUUGUAAUUUUCUUGAUGACUGGAAUUUUUAUUAUGCAUAACUGACAAAUCAAGUUUCCAAGCAAAUGUUACAUAGUGUAGGCUUUACUUAGCUUAUCAAUUUGUCAUUUUGAAGCUAAUUAUUUUAAUUAGGUUAACUGUACAAUAUUUUAAGCAUUACUCUUGUAAGAUUUUGAAAACUACAUUUUAACAUGGACCUUUAGGGAUAGUCACCUUUUAAAUCCUGUUGAAAAGCCAUGUUUAAGAUUUAAUUUGCCAAAAUAAUGUCUUGUUAAUAUUCUUUCAAUAAUGAAGUUGGGCAAUAUAACCGAUGUUUUUAAAAAGUUUAAAAUGUGUAGGUUGAAGCAUUUGGGUGGUAAAAUGUUCUAGUGAAUUACCCCUUUUCCUGAAGUUUGGAGGACCAAAAAAUAAUAAUAAGGUGUAUUGCGUCUUAGCAGAGGUUUUUUUUUUUUUUGUUUGUUUUUUUUUUUAAUUUUUAUUAUUAAAUCCAAUCUUGUUUCCAAAAAAUAUGUCUGCCAGGGCCUUAAAAGCCAUCGUUGUAAAUUACCAAUAAAGUAUAACAUAUGCAAACAUAACAAAAUCACUUCCACAGUGACGAUACUCCAACCAUAUGGAUAUUAGUCAUAGAAACUAGAGACUUUAUGAUAUUUUUUUAAGUUUUUUUUAAUCUAGGUAGUCUGCACUUAAAUAUCUACCAUUUUCCUUUUUUUGCUUCUUCCCUUAAAAUUUAUAUGUAUCCAAUACAUUUAAUUGAGAAAUGUAUGUUUUUUAUUAUGCUGUAUUUUCUUUUUAUUUUUUAAUUAUUGUUUAUAUUUUCAAUUAAAAAUGUACAAAAUAAAAUUACAUUGCUGGUCUUGUAAGAGCUCUACAAUUUUCCUACAUGUACCUAUAACUACAGCAGUUCAUCAAUUUCAAGAAGUUGGAUUCUGUUCAUUUGUUAUCUUUAAGACCACCUCAGAUUUACAGGCUACCUUAUUGUACGUUUAAAGUGUAUUAUAACAGUGUGGUAGUUAAUAAAACACUAUUUUUUUUUUCUUUUGA